AAGGGCCGCUCGUUGUUCUGAGUGUUGCCUCGGUUGUGAAAAAUGGCCCCUUAUCCAAGGGGCCAUUUUUUUGCUUGUU
rnacentral:sRNA from 1 species